CAGUAGCCGCGGUAAUACGUAGGGUGCGAGCGUUAAUCGGAAUUACUGGGCGUAAAGCGUGCGCAGGCGGUUUUGUAAGACAGGCGUGAAAUCCCCGGGCUCAACCUGGGAAUGGCGCUUGUGACUGCAAAGCUAGAGUGCGGCAGAGGGGGAUGGAAUUCCGCGUGUAGCAGUGAAAUGCGUAGAUAUGCGGAGGAACACCGAUGGCGAAGGCAAUCCCCUGGGCCUGCACUGACGCUCAUGCACGAAAGCGUGGGGAGCAAACAGGAUUAGAUACCCCGGUAGUCCCUGUCUCUUAUAC
rnacentral:rRNA from 1 species